AACCAAAUACUUUUAGACUUUUAUUCAAGUAGAAUUUUACUGCGGGACUUUUACUUGAGUAAUUUUCUAUUAAGGUUUUUUACUUUUACUCAAGUAUGACAAUUGGGUACUUUUUCAACUACUGUGUAAUAGCUACUGUAAAUUGGACAGUGCAGUUAGUUUAACAAGAAUUUAAGCUUUCGGCCCAUAUAAGACAUGUCUAUGUCCUGGGAAAUGUUCUUGUUACUUACAAUGUCAUGCUAAUCAUAUAUCUCCCAUGGGAGAGGACAUCGAUCCCGUAGAGGUUUUAAGGGGUUAUUUUCCAAGUUUUAAAUAAUACACUUUCAACAUUGGCCAUGCUGUCAAUGAAGCAUGAGUUGUGCCGCACUCAAAAUACUAUUAACUCAGAACUACGAAAACGUGACUUCAGUGAGUUCAAGACAACUGUGAGGUCGGGAAAAAGCGAGCUCCAACUGAAAAAAUACAUUAAACUCGGUCAUUCAACAGUCAUUCAACUCGGAAUUCCAAGUUGGGAACUCGGGCCUCCUCCUAGAGCUCCAAACUGAAGAUCAAUGACCUUAUUAUUCAACCAUGUUUUUUUUCCGAGUUCCCAGUUGUCUUGAAAGCACCAUCAAUCCAGAGAAUGCCAGACUUUGAUGACAAAAUUUCCCCACCUUCCUGUUCAUGUGAGCACAGCACAAUAAGGUGAGUCCAAAAAUGUAUUGGAAGCUGCUGCAUAAAUGAUGUAAUAUGCCAGGGAGAUAUGUAUACUGUAGCUAAGAUGGUAAUACUAAGUGUAUGUUGUGAAGUAAGCUGUCAGUAGCCCAUGCGGCUCACCCUAAUCAUUGUGUCCCUUUUCCUCUCCUAACUUAGCCUACUGCUCUGACUUACUGGUGCAUAUGUAGCCUAUAGCCUGUUUUUAGAGAAAUGUCAUCAUUGAAUAUUGUAAGAGCUUUUAUUGUCUGCUUUUAAGCCCCCUUUAUUUAUCCUACAGUUCUGACUUGGUGUACAGUGUUGAACAAGAUAAAGUAAAACUUGACUUUACUCCUCUGUUUGGUCUGAAAUACCAGGAGGUGUGAGUACAUUUGUUUCAGAGUCUUGCCAUCUCUCCACCCUCUGCUUCAACCAACAGUCUCUCUAGAACAGUGGCCGUAAUCCAACUGAAGACUGUACUCCUCUUUCUGUGGGUCGUUGAAACAUCGUACCUCUGUCACCUGGUCCAAAUACUCAGAAGGGAUCUGAUUGGCUGCUGCAGGUCGGGAAAUUGUCCAGAGUGGAGCAGUUUCUCCUUGAUGAGCUCCCGAACAGGAAGUGGAAAUAUGAAGUGGAUAUCCUGAUUAGCUCUUCCUUCGGCCCAGUCCAGAAUGAACUUCUGCGCAGAGACUGUUGUACCAAUGCCAGCGACUCCCUUUGUCAGCACAGUUCUGAUAGGCUUGUCUUGUCCAGCUCUGUAAAGAUCUUAUUGAGAAGACUUGGGUUUCCUAUGACAGCUAUUCCUUCAAACACACACCGAAACUACUUCUUCAGGAAGUGAAGUGUGAUCCUCUCUGGCCCUGCUCUCCUGCUUCUCAUCUUCAGCAUCCUCUCUCUGACUCUCUAAGCAUUCUGGGAGAUCUGGACUCAGAAUCCUCUUGAAACUCUUCAGUUCUUUCUUCACUAAAGUGAUGACAGUCUCUUCAAGUGACUGAGAAAGAGUUUUUUAUUUUUUUACAUUUAGGUGUAAUUCAUUCUGCACAAGCAACUGAAACCAACCAAUACAAAAAAAAGUUAAUUAAAAUGAUAUUUGGCCUUCUUUUCAGCAGUUUUUACAUUUAGGUAAACCCAUUGGGAUUUCAGACAAAAAAAUUAAGUUCAAUUCUAUUUUUAUGUAUGACAGCUCACCAUGAAUGUUUUAUUGUAACUUUAUUUAACUAGGCAAGUCAGAACAAAUUCUUAUGUUCAAUGAUGACCUAGGAACAGUGGGUUAACUGCCUUGUUCAGGGGCUGAAUGACAGAUUUUUACCUUGUCAGCUCCAGGAUUCGAUCUUGCAACCUUUCAGUUACUAGUCCAAUGCUCUAACCACUAGGCUGCCUGCCGCCCCAUGAGGAAUAUCGAGUCCAGGUCUGUUGUAUGACUUUGGGAAGACUGACCACUGGAAAUAUCUGCUUCUGAUCUCUCCUGUUGGUCUCUGUAAGAAAAAGAAGUUGACUACAACUGAUCAACCAGCUUCACCCCAAAACAAUGACGCAAUACUUCUUAUCCCUGUUUAGUAGAGAAGUCUCCCUCUCUGAGGUUAACUGCUUUUCCCAUAGACUGUUCACUCUUCAUCAACAGACAGCUGGGUACAGGGAAGUCGGGGCUCUUGUGUCUGUGCAUCAAAGCUGGGACCGAGUGACUGAAAAACAGCUUGUAUCUCAAGGCCAUCAGACUGUUAAACAGCCAUCACUAACAUUGAGUGGCUGCUGCCAACAUACUGACUCAAAUCUCUAGCCACUUUAAUAAUACAACAAUUGAUGUAAUAAAUGUAUCACUAGUCACUUUAAACAAUGCCACUUUAUAUAAUGUUUACAUACCCUACAUUACUCAUCUCACAUGUAUAUACUCUAUACCAUCUACUGCAUCCUGCCUAUGCCGUUCAUCCCAUAUAUUUACAUCUACAUAUUCUUAUUAAUUCCUUUGUUAUUGUGAAAUUGUUAGAUAUUACUGCAUGGUCGGAACUAGAAGCACAAGCAUUUCACUACACUCGCAUUAACAUCUGCUAACCAUAUGUAUCCAAUAAAAUUUGAUUUGAUUUGUUCUUGUUGUUCUGUAUAUGUCAUUAUGUUUUGUGUGGACCCCAGGUAGAGUAUCUGCUGCUUGUGCAACAGCUACUGGGGAUAAUAAAAUACCAAGUCGCUCUUUCAGUUUCAAA